rnacentral:rRNA from 1 species
GACAUUGUCAGAUAGGGAUAAUAACGGAGGUGUCCCAAGGCCAGCUCAGUGCGGACGGACACCACAGAUAGAGCGAAAGGACAAAAACUGACUUGAUCUCGUCAGUGUUCAGUACACACAGGGACAGCGAAAGCUCGGCCUAUUGACGCUUUUGGUUCAAGGAGUUUUUAACGGGAC